UGGUGGAGUGAUUCGUCUGGUUAAUUCCGUUAACGAACGAGACCUCGACCUGCUAAAUAGUUCCCUAUACUUUCGGGUAUAGAGGUGACUUCUUAGAGGGACUGUCGGUUCCUAGCCGAAGGAAGUUCGAGGCAAUAACA
rnacentral:rRNA from 1 species